CCCUAUAUGGUUGUGGGUGGGUUUAAGCCAUGACCGGAUGUAGGUAAUGUGAGACAUUGGCAAACGGCCAUGCGAGAGGAGAGAACAAAGGAUAAUAAAAGUUACGGGAGAGAAGAGAAGUUCGAAAGGAGCUGCUCAUACCAUCCUGAAAAUAUUGCUGGCUCUCUGUGUCUUUAUUUUAUGCUAAACUGCGCCAUUUGUGACGGCUGGCUCCGACAAGUGGUGCCCCGUGUGAGGCUGAAUAAAAGAAUACGUCUGAGGCUUUUAAAAGAAAACCGUGUGAGGUUUUUCGAUCCACGCAACGGAUAUCAUCGGCUCACCACGCCCGGCAAGGGUUUCAAGCGCUAAUCAUCUUAAAAAGAUCCCGGUGAGUUCGAUCCCUCUUUUAUCUUGAUUUUAGAAAAAUGGGCAGCUCUUUGUCUACUCCCCAACAGAAAUUUUUAAAAGACUUAAAAUUUCUCCUCUCCUCCAACAAAUUGGAAGUUCCGGAGGGUGAUUUGAUACAGCUCAUUCUGGCCAUCGAAGAGCAUUCCCCCUGGUUUCCUGCAGAUGGGACUUGGGAAUUGAAACAUUGGGACAAGAUCGGGGAACAUUUUCAUGGGCACCCCAGCAUUGGUCUUCAGAUUCUAAAUGCAUGGUGCAAGGUUCGUUACGCCAUGGGCUCUUUAUCACCAAAAAAUAUCUCCCUGGCUGCAUUGCCAACACAACCUCCAGCUUCCUUAGUCCAGCCUGCUGUGUUAGCGUCUGUUCCAAUACUUGCUUUGCCAGCAGCUCCAGACCCCAAACCUCCGGACUACAGUUCCUCACCAGAGGACCCAAUCCUGCAAAAAUACCGUGGUCUGGCUGGAAAUGACCCUGCUCUUUCAGCGGCAGAACCAGCUACCCCUUUUCAACGUGCAGUCCUUGCCUGUUCCUUAAUUCAGGAUACUAUGGCAUUCCCUGUUAUUGUGCCCCCUGCUGGCGCUCCAGCAGGAACUCAAGCCCAACACCAACCUUUUGACUUUAAGAUCUUGAAAGAGCUGCAGCAGUCAGUAAAGACCAAUGGACUCCAAGCCCCAAAUACGCAGGUGCUUUUAGAAGCCACAUUAGCCCAGCUCUUGGUUCCAGAGGACAUCAAGCUUUUGGCCCAUACAGUGUUACCCCCAUCAGAUGGUGUUUUGUUUGCCCACGAAUGGGAAACUGCCUGCCGUGCUUAUGCUCCAGCCUUGUUACAACAAGUCAGAGGAAAUAAUCCAAAUGUUACCCUCGCAGACGUCAUAGAUGCCAUGAUGGGGCGUGGUCCCUUCACUCAAGCUUCAGUGCAAGCCACACUGCUGCAAAUCUUAUUGAGG